rnacentral:misc_RNA from 1 species
AAGUCGUAACAAGGUUUCCGUAGGUGAACCUGCGGAAGGAUCAUUACAGAAUGUAACCUCCUUUGGUGCACUCUUUAUAUCCCUUUGUCUACUUUCCCUGUUGCUUCCAUGGUGCCAGUCAGUUUGGCUCUGGACAGGCGGUUAAUCUCCCUGUUUGGAAGUGCCCAUGGGUGGUCCUUUUCCUGGUGAAGUUAGUAUCCAGGCUCAGGAACCUUAUUUAAAAAUCUUUAUCUGUGAUACAUCUGUCUGAAUAAAUCAUGAAAUAAGAAUAAAACUUUCAACAACGGAUCUCUAGGCUCUU